GACGAACGCUGGCGGCGUGCCUAACACAUGCAAGUCGAACGGAACUAUUUUGACUGAUUCCUUCGGGAUGAAGAAUUUUUAGUUUAGUGGCGGACGGGUGAGUAACGCGUGAGUAACCUGCCUCUGAGAGGGGAAUAACGUUCUGAAAAGAACGCUAAUACCGCAUAACACAUAUUUGCCGCAUGACAGAUAUGUCAAAGAUUUUAUCGCUCGGAGAUGGACUCGCGUCCGAUUAGUUAGUUGGUGAGGUAACGGCUCACCAAGACCGCGAUCGGUAGCCGGACUGAGAGGUUGAACGGCCACAUUGGGACUGAGACACGGCCCAG
rnacentral:rRNA from 1 species